CACCAAUUUUGUGGAGAGGUUGGAGAUUCGAUGUAAGGAGGCAAGAACACACUAGGAGCAAGGCGGAGGAUUCUUCUUCGAGUUUUUCACUUCCUUCUUCCUAUAUUCAUUUUUGGUUAUGAAUUUUAGAAUUUUAGUUUUGCAUAUUAUUAUGAAUAGCUAAUUUGUUAUCUAUGGUUUUGAUGGAACGUUUUGUAGGGUAAAUUCUUCUUAUAUUUUUAUAUAAUUGAGUCGUU
rnacentral:lncRNA from 1 species